CUCACUUUUAAAGCAAAGACUGAUAGGAAGAGGGUCCUAGCUGGAUUUUGUCUGACUUUGCUAGGUGCAGCGAAUGGUACCCAUAGAGUGAGGUCUGUCGAAAUCCUGGGAUCAGGCCUUGACCUAACAGGGAGUAUGAGGAGGCACCCAGCUCAGGUUCAUGGUGCUGCAUUUUCACUGAUCAAGUCCUGACUUCACUGUGUCCUGACUCCUGAAAAUGCCUGCCUGUCCUGCUGACCUCCUGUAUGUUCUGCUCUCUUGCCUGGCCCUCUGGAUUGUAGGAUUGAGAAGUACAAUGGACUCUAAAGAUUAUCUGUUCUGAUCCCCUCACUUUACAGAGAAGAAAACUGAGGGGAAGUAAUUUACCUAAGAUGAGGAAACUGAACUACAGAGGCGAUGUGAUUUGCAGGAAGUACUUCAAGAUCCCUCAGAGACCCAAGGUCUCCAAGAAACACGUAGAGGAGGUGACAAGACCGAGAUGAGAGAGAAAGCCAACUCUAGCAUAAAAGAUAUUCUCCUGGAAUCCUUCUUCACAUGGCAGAGAACACCAUGGCUCCACAGGACACAGUGUUGGGAAAUGAUGAUCUAGUACAGUCUUCUCCUGCAGAUGAGGAAACUGAGGCUAAACAAUUCACCCAAGUUGAUCUCACCAAUUAGUACAGAAUUGGGAAGAGAGCCGAGAUACCCUGACGCCCAUUUUGGUGGUCUUUCCACUUCUACUUGUCAACUUUUUCAGAGAAUUAAUGCAAGGAGUGCUAAAUUUAGAAUCAG